AUCUUAUCUUAUUUUCACUUUUGCAAAAUUUACCAACUGUAAAUUUCUUGUGUCUAAGCAGGGAGAUGUGUUUCUCCAGCUGGCGUCGCAGUUUGACUUCAGCUCCGUACUUUCCUGUUGUGCCAUUGUCUGCCAGGAUGAAGUGGGAGUGGAGACUGUUGAGGACCGUCAGCUUGCUCAUGGGGUUGGACAUGGUUUGGUACGGACGCACCACCUUGCCAAAGAGGGAAGUCAGAGAGAGUGAGAGAGAAGAAUAAACACACAAAGUGAAAAGUGUUAACCUGG